CAUACCACGAGAGAAUUUGCAGUCUGCACUUCAACUCCGGUGAGCCUUCAACAGACGUAAACCAUCCCGACUUUGUGCCCACUAUUUUCAACUUUACGCCACUGACCAAGUCAACUCCAACAUCGUUGGAAAGGUUCGAGCCUGUGGCCAAACGGCGAAGAAGAUUGAUCUUGACACCCUGUCAAACGAAGGAAAAUGUACCGCACAGCCAUCAGGAACAAACAGCUGCCCAAGCCUUGUUGGAUUUGGCACAUCAUACCCCAUCAUACAAAGAUUCAGGAACAGAUCCUGACCCUGACCCUCUUCAGCAGCAGUAUGAUCAACUACAGAGGGAUUACGCAGGACUUCAACAGGACUAUCAACGUGUUCUGGAUGAAAAUCGACAUCUCAAGGCCCAACGUGAAGCAAGUUGGUUUACCUACAGAAAUCUCAACUACUCAGUAAUUAAAAACAUUGACAGGACUUCCUACUAUGGACUUAUUCCAGUGGUUUAUGUCCCUUGUGUGUCUUUAUCUGAAACCAGUCAGUAAAUUGUGUUCUGGUGACAUUCUUCUGCUGGUUUUGAUGAAACUGAAACUUGGCUGUACCAAUAAAGACUUAGCAAUACGGUUUAAGGUUGCCCUGACACAGGUGUCUGCGAUUUUGAAUAGUGUCAUACCCAUAAUGGCUAAACAACUGGAAUUCUUCAUACGGUGGCCAACAAAAGGUGAGGUGCUGAAGAAUAUGCCAAAAGUGUUCAGGUGGCGCUACAGGAGAGCUAGAGUAAUUAUUGACUGUAGUGAGAUUUUCAUUCAGCGACCUGCGAUUUUGAGACAUGGUCCAACUACAAGCAUCAUAAUACAGCAAAAUUCUUGAUUGGCAUCACCCCUUAUGGAACGGUUAGUUUUGUUUCUUCCAACUGGGGUGGACGAGUGUCCGAUAAAGAACUGACCAAACAAUCCGGUUUCUAUGAUAGACUUGAGCCUGGUGAUUUGGUGUUUGGCAGAUAGAGGAUUUCUAGUUGCAGAAGAACUGGCUGCUUAUGGGGCAUAAUUAGCCAUGCUUCCAUUUCCAUUUGUAAAACCAUUUGGAAUUUUGAAAAAUGUUAUGCCAUUAACACUGUCUCGUCAUAUUGAUUCCGUACUGAUCAUAUGUUGUGCAAUUACAAAUGUCUUGGCUAAACUGUUGAAGUGACAUUUCAAAAAACAAACAUAUGGGACACAAGCAGCUGUCAACAAUUUUGUUUUUGGUAAAGUUGUUGUUAUAAUAAAGCUCCCACUAGGGGGUGUAUUGAGUGGUUCGAGUACAUAUUUUUAUGUAUGACUGAUGUAUUUAUAUAUUCUUUAGUACCAAAAUGUUUACCUACCAACUGAACCCCAAAUACAUUUCA